rfam:Marine metagenome 1096626708575, whole genome shotgun sequence.
CGCGCGGCGGAGUGAUCCGCAGCGUGAUCGGGCAGAAGUCAGCAGAGGCCAUAGUAGUGCGGGCGCCGGGACCGGCGCCGGCGCGAAGGGC